rnacentral:rRNA from 1 species
GAUGAACGCUGGCGGCGUGCUUAACACAUGCAAGUCGAACGGUGAAGCCCAGCUUGCUGGGUGGAUCAGUGGCGAACGGGUGAGUAACACGUGAGCAACCUGCCCCUGACUCUGGGAUAAGCGCUGGAAACGGUGUCUAAUACUGGAUAUGUGAUGUGACCGCAUGGUCUGCGUCUGGAAAGAUUUUUCGGUUGGGGAUGGGCUCGCGGCCUAUCAGCUUGUUGGUGAGGUAAUGGCUCACCAAGGCGUCGACGGGUAGCCGGCCUGAGAGGGUGACCGGCCACACUGGGACUGAGACACGGCCCAGACUCCUACGGGAGGCAGCAGUGGGGAAUAUUGGACAAUGGGCGGAAGCCUGAUCCAGCAACGCCGCGUGAGGGAUGACGGCCUUCGGGUUGUAAACCUCUUUCAUCAUUGACGAAGCUCCAUGUUGAUUGGGGUGACGGUAGGUGGGGAAGAAGCACCGGCCAACUACGUGCCAGCCGCCGCAGUAACAC